rnacentral:lncRNA from 10 species
CCUACCCAGAGUUUCAGGUUUCUGCCUGUGAGUGAGAUCAUUGGCCGAGACCUGAGUGGCUUCCCUGCACCUCCUGGAGAAGAGCCUCCUGCCUGAACCACGUGAACUGUCAUCACCUGGCAACCCCAGCCCCAGCCUCAGCCCUGCCCCCUUUCCCUCCUUCCUGGAGUGGUGGCUACAGAAGCUUGGGGCCAACCCUGGCUCCUCUUUCCCCAGCUUCUGUCUGUCUCACUGUCUUCCCUCCCCUCCCCCAGCUGAGGUGUGGCCCUCAGGCCUGGUGCUGCCUUGGAGGGCUGGGGGAAGGAGUGUGUGGAGGAGGGAGGAGGGUGAAGACUGAGGCUAGGUGCCAGAAUGGACUGGAGUGAAGGCGUGUCUAGAGUGUGGGCUGGCUGUUGUGCUGGAAAGCUGGGGACAGGUUGAUGGUAAUAAACUGCUCAAUGACCAGUG